GCCAGCAGCCAUAUCACCCUGCAACUCACAACUGGCAACCCACUGAAGCUCAGCAGGUGUGAGCCUGGUCAGUACCUGGAGGGGAGACUCCUGGGAGGCUGAGGUUGCUGCUGGAA
rnacentral:rRNA from 1 species